rnacentral:rRNA from 1 species
CCGGGAUGGACGGACCGCUGGUGUACCAGUUGUAUUACCAAGUGCAUAGCUGGGUAGCCAAGUCUGGAAAGGAUAAACGCUGAAGGCAUCUAAGCGUGAAGCCAACCUCAAGAUGAGAUAUCUCUUAAGACCCCUCGAAGACUACGAGGUUGAUAGGCUCUGGGUGUAAGCAUGGCAACAUGUUCAGCUGAGGAGUACUAAUAGGUCGUGAGCUUUUCCU